AGCUGAGUGGUAGAGUUGGUUGAUUAGCAUCCGGUGGUCCUGGGUUCGAAUCCCACCC
rnacentral:tRNA from 14 species